CCUGGAGGAAGGCGUUAGUACGGGUUGUGCUGUAUUUUUGUGUCUGUGUGUGUCCUUCGAAAGUGAUUACUGGAGACUACACCGUGAAUCUGUUCCCUGUUUUGUGUUACUUGCAGUCCGCCACGUGGCCGUAUGGGUGAUGAUAAAGUUCAAAACGUCAAAGAUCAACACGAGCAAAGGAGUCAGGAGAAUCACAACGAGCAAACACAGGUGGGUUCAAAGACGUCGAUUAGUCCGUGGAGGCUUGAGACGGAAGGCAGGCGGCAAGCGCGGCGGGAGACCUGCUGAGGGAAAAGAGCGGCCGGCGCGCGAGUCAGAGAGGAAGCUGAGAGAACGUCAACCUCCCAUCCCGCCCUCAGUAAGAAGAGAACUGUUACAUCGUGAUUCAGAAGCCGAAGUUCGAAGCUUAUAGACGAGAAGGAAGUACCACGCCGCGCUAGUUCAUAAAUGGCAGGGACGGAGGAAGGACGGCGUGAGCAUUGUUCUUCUCUUCUGUGAUCCUACUGCAUCAUUUAUGUGACGUGGCUGAGGUGACGCUUAAGAUGUAGAAAUUAUUGGCUGAGGAAGUUGACGAUGUAUAGGUGAUGAAACGGGAGAGGACAUCUAAGAAAAUUGAUUUAACAUCGAUGCCUUCUGUUUCAAGCGCAUGUUUCACCCGGCCGUGUGAAUCUGCAGCGACAUCUUCGAUAGAUACUGCAAUCCCGCCGAAGAGCUGCACAAUCCACGCCAUCUUCAUCUGCUGCUGUAACGAAGGGAUGCUGUAAAAUGAAAAGGAAAUUAAUGAAACAAUUAUCUUCCUCA